rnacentral:rRNA from 1 species
UCGAACGGAGUUAUAUUAUAGCUUGCUAUGGUAUAACUUAGUGGCAGACGGGCGAGUAAUGCAUAGGAAUCUACCUAGUAGUACGGAAUAAUUGUUGGAAACGGCAACUAAUACCGUAUACGCCCUACGGGGGAAAAAUUUAUUGCUAUUAGAUGAGCCUAUAUUAGAUUAGCUAGUUGGUGGGGUAAUAGCCUACCAAGGCAAUGAUCUAUAGCUGAUCUGAGAGGAUGAUCAGCCACACUGGAACUGAGAUACGGUCCAGACUUCUACGGGAGGCAGCAGUGGGGAAUAUUGGACAAUGGGCGAAAGCCUGAUCCAGCCAUGUCGCGUGAGUGAAGAAGGCCUUUGGGUUGUAAAGCUCUUUUAGUGAGGAAGAUAAUGACGGUACUCACAGAAGAAGUCCUGGCUAACUCCGUGCCAGCAGCCGCGGUAAUACGGAGAGGGCUAGCGUUAUUCGGAAUUAUUGGGCGUAAAGGGCGCGUAGGCUGAUUAAUAAGUUAAAAGUGAAAUCCCGAGGCUUAACCUUGGAAUUGCUUUUAAAACUAUUAAUCUAGAGAUUGAAAGAGGAUAGAGGAAUUCCUGAUGUAGAGGUAAAAUUCGUAAAUAUUAGGAGGAACACCAGUGGCGAAGGCGUCUAUCUGGUUCAAAUCUGACGCUGAGGCGCGAAGGCGUGGGGAGCAAACAGGAUU